GUCUCAGCCUGGGUCUGCAGGAGCUGCCUUCCGUAUAAAGCCCCAGCGCGGAAAUAUGCAGAGGAAAGCCUUUUCCGGCCGCUCCGCAAGAGGGGGAAUUGGGGAAGGGAUUUCCCCGCGGAGAAGCGGCAGCGUGCUCCCGGUACGCACCGAGCUGACGCUUCCCUUUUCUCGCUUUUCUUGCGCUGCCUCCUGCUGCGGCAGCCGCCGGCGCCGUGUCCUGAGGCCAGCCGGCACUGAGUUUCUGCCCCACGGCUAACCAGGAGCCUUUUCUCGCCUUUUGAUGCUUUUGGCUGUAUUUGGAUGGCACCAUCGUGCUGCAGGGUUUUGGGCCCAAGCCCUCAGCUGUAGACCAGAGCUGCUCACAGGUGGCACUCAAGUGUGGACCUGCCACAUCGCUCCCCAAACCAGAGUCUCCUCCUUUGGGUUUUGGGGGGCCCCCGCUCCCCAGCCUCGUGGGGGAGCCCCUCCCUGGCAGUGGGGCCUCCCCCCAGGAAACGCCGAUGACCAGCCACCCUCCAGCUCGCCCUCGCCAGCCCUCCUGACCCACCGCUGGCAGGAGGCACCGCCAAUUCCAUUUGUUAAACAGUUUUUUUUUUUUUUAAGUGUAAAUGAUAAUAAUAAAAUUCCACGAGUCUUUCUUUUUUUUUCUCUUUUCUCUCCCCUCAGGAUAAAUUUUAUGCGGCUGGCAGUUAAAAUAAGCGAUUACCCCAUAAAUACCAUCUUAAUAGCCUCGUCAACGCUACGGCCUCCGCUGUCCUGAGAUUUUUAUCUCAGGAAAGGGGGAGGGAGGGAGAGAGAAAACCACAACCCUUUAGAGCGCUGCGGCGGCGGCUGCCGCCGCUCGUUACUCGCUGCGUAGCUGGGGGGGCGGAGGGCUCCCCCCUUCCCCCGGGGGCAGCCGCGGGGCCGCCCCCUCCCCCGGCGUGGCCGUUGGCGU
rnacentral:lncRNA from 1 species